GACGAACGCUGGCGGCGUGCCUAAUACAUGCAAGUCGAGCGCAGGAAACUGACGGAACUCUUCGGAGGGAAGGCAGCGGAAUGAGCGGCGGACGGGUGGGUAACACGUAAGGAACCUGCCUCAAGGAUUGGGAUAACUCCGAGAAAUCGGAGCUAAUACCGGAUAGUUCAACGGACCGCAUGGUCCGCUGAUGAAAGGCGCUCCGGCGUCACCUUGAGAUGGCCUUGCGGUGCAUUAGCUAGUUGGUGGGGUAACGGCCCACCAAGGCGACGAGGCAUAGCCGAGCUGAGAGGGUGAUCGGCCACACUGGGACUGAGACACGGCCCAGACUCCUACGGGAGGCAGCAGUAGGGAAUCUUCCACAAUGGACGAAAGUCUGAUGGAGCAACGCCGCGUGAGUGAUGAAGGUUUUCGGAUCGUAAAACUCUGUUGUAAGGGAAGAACACGUACGAGAGGAAAUGCUCGUACCUUGACGGUACCUUACGAGAAAGCCACGGCUAACUACGUGCCAGCAGCCGCAGUAAGAC
rnacentral:rRNA from 1 species